ACUGCAGAAACUUAAACUUUAGUAAAACAAGAUCUUUUAUGUUUUUAGGUAUGAGAAAUAUCAAGCUAUGGUUUAAAAAAAGAAAGCACUGAUUGAGAUCUAGCCAAGCUCUUUACUAGAUUUGAAGCUGAACUCUGGGACUGUAAUUCUCAGUAUCCUUUCAGAUGUGGCUAUUUCAGCUCCUAUGAAAAUGAUGCAUACUGUUCAGCAGAGCCCUUGAGUAUCAUUGGAGAGCACUCAGAGUAUAUGAAAAGACUCGAAGGACAACAUGGAGAAACACUGAAGGCAGUCAGAGUGAUACAUGUCAUUGUUACCUGCGCUACAGUACUCCAGAGGAUGCUCAGUUCAGCUUUCUUGUGGGUGAAGAUGUAAUUUCAUUUAUGCUGCAUAGCACUCAGUGGCAGUCUUGAAAAAAUUUGUAUCCAUCCUUUUCCAGAAAGCAGAAAGAAUACAAAAUGGUGUAUGAGACCAUUCUAUACAAACAAAAACUACUUGAACCAAUUGCUCUGAAGGCUUCUUUUGCACUGUACCUGUAUAUACUGAUCUGAAGUGGAGGAAGUGAAAACAGUUAAUUGAAGCACUUCAUUUUUCAGCUUUUAUGAACCUGCUCAGAUUACUUUCAGCAUCUGCUUCUUUUUCUUUCUUCCUUGGAAAGAUGUAUGGAUUCAUAGGAAUGGGAGUUUGUUUUUAAUGACAAAUAACUGAAUGCAAAGUAACUUUGUCACUUUAUAAUUUGGUUUGAACCUGUACUGGUUAAUAAAAAUUUAACUGUAUUAGGGGAUGUGUCUUUUCCAAAAGCAUCAACCACUGUAUUGAUCCCUUAAAAAGUGAACUUGAACUGCUAUAAUGGUCACUGCUUCUGCAUACAUUCAGCAGUGAAUGUACAUGCAGUGUGGGGAAGGAGAACAACUAUUCAUGUUUCAGAGAAGAAAAGGGAGUUCUGUCACUUAAAGAAAUAAAAAUGUGUAGAUUUUGAUUUGUUUAUUCCUUAACUUCUAAAAUGUGUUUUCUUUGACAUCUUUGGCGUGUCAUUGGUGGAAGUAAAAAAGCAGAUUAAGUAUACCUGAUUAGAAUGUUUAUCAUUGUGAAUGUAUAUUUGAGGAGAGAAUUUACAGUUCAGAUUGUAUCCUGAUGUCCUAGCAAUCUGAAAUGUAAUGUGAUGUACAAAUACAACUGCUUUACCUUUCUCUGUCACUGGAUUAAAAAAAAAAAAUAAAAAAAAAUCACCCAGACCACAAAACCUUACUGUAAAUGGAGAGACAAACCGGAAAAAUAUGUUAACGUCAUGAGGAAAAAAAAUUGUCAGUGCCUGGCCAAAUAAUUAAGAGCUAUAAAAAUUUCUUACAGUAAACUUUUAGUAAUCAGAUCUUUUCAGAUGAAAAUAAGUAUCAAUUUAGUGUUUUCUACUUUUAGAGUUGCAAGUAAUAGAAAAUCUAAUUGCAUGAAAGCUAUAAAAACUGUGAAAUCUUUACUUAGAACUUUAUAUUUGAAUAGAUUUGUUGUUACAAGGGUGUAAGGAGAGUAAAUAUCUGGAACCAACAUUGUUGGAAGUUUAGAGAAAUCUAUGAAAAAAUAGGUUACUUAGUUUGUAACUAUUUUGUUUUAACAUCUUUUUGUUUUAACAUCUUUUAGAGAGAAUGGACGUUUACUUUGGUGACAGUUAAUA